AUGUAUGUUGAGCACACAAAUAAAGCAAUAAUUUCUUACACCAGGGCAACAACAGCAGUCAUUGUCAAGGAAAGUUUUGGAACAUCACAAGCAGUGUUUUGGAUGAUCAACUCUUCUGCAACUGCAUCUAGCAAUCCAUUUCUCAGUGUCUGAAACUGUGGUGCUUUGGAUGGUCAGGCAAAAGAGUGAUAUUAAACUUGAAUAAAUCAAGGAUGGAUUCACCUUUUUUGAAUAAGUAGAUAUUCUGCUGACAGAUGGAUCUCUUCAGCUUAUUGAUGAUUUUCCAGUUUAUUAAAGGUAAGCCCUCAGAACUUCAUAAUCAAAAUGAUGAAGUUCUUCAUUCCCAGAACUUUCUUAUAU
rnacentral:lncRNA from 1 species